rnacentral:rRNA from 1 species
UACGUAGGGGGCAAGCGUUGUCCGGAUUUAUUGGGCGUAAAGCGCUCGCAGGUGGUCCGAUACGUCGUGCGUGAAAGACCCCGGCUCAACUGGGGAGUGUCGUGCGAUACGGUCGGACUGGAGGCCAGUAGGGGGAUGCGGAAUUCCGGGUGUAGUGGUGGAAUGCGUAGAGAUCCGGAGGAACACCAGCGGCGAAGGCGGCAUCCUGGACUGGUCCUGACACUCAGGAGCGAAAGCGUGGGGAGCGAACAGG